CCUACGGGCGGCAGCAGUGAGGAAUAUUGGUCAAUGGACGAGAGUCUGAACCAGCCAAGUAGCGUGAAGGAUGACUGCCCUAUGGGUUGUAAACUUCUUUUAUAAAGGAAUAAAACGAGGCACGUGUGCCUUUUUGCAUGUACUUUAUGAAUAAGGAUCGGCUAACUCCGUGCCAGCAGCCGCGGUAAUACGGAGGAUCCGAGCGUUAUCCGGAUUUAUUGGGUUUAAAGGGAGCGUAGAUGGGUUGUUAAGUCAGUUGUGAAAGUUUGCGGCUCAACCGUAAAAUUGCAUUUGAUACUGGCAGUCUUGAGUACAGUUGAGGUAGGCGGAAUUCGGGGUGUAGCGGUGAAAUGCUUAGAUAUCACGAAGAACCCCGAUGGCGAAGGCAGCUUACUAAACUGUGACUGACAUUGAUGCUCGAAAGUGUGGGUAGCAAACAGGAUUAGAUACCCCAGUAGUC
rnacentral:rRNA from 1 species